GACCCCGCGCCGAAAAUGUACCGGGGCUAAACAUAUUACCGAAACUGUGGAUGAACCUCUUUAGAGGUUCGUGGUAGGAGAGCGUUCUAAGGGCGGUGAAGUCAGACCGGAAGGACUGGUGGAGCGCUUAGAAGUGAGAAUGCCGGUAUGAGUAGCGAAAGAAGGGUGAGAAUCCCUUCCACCGAAUAUCUAAGGUUUCCUGAGGAAGGCUCGUCCGCUCAGGGUUAGUCGGGACCUAAGCCGAGGCCGAUAGGCGUAGGCGAUGGACAACAGGUAGAGAUUCCUGUACCAGUGCUAAUUGUUUAACCGAUGGGGUGACACAGAAGGAUAGGGAAUCGCACGAAUGGAAAUGUGCGUCCAAGCAGUGAGUGUGAGAAGUAGGCAAAUCCGCUUCUCGCGAAGCAUGAGCUGUGAUGGGGAAGGAAAUUAAGUACGGAAGUUCCUGAUUUCACGCUGUCAAGAAAAGCCUCUAGGAAGAGUAGUACUGCCCGUACCGCAAACCGACACAGGUAGAUGAGGAGAGAAUCCUAAGGUGAGCGAGAGAACUCUCGUUAAGGAACUCGGCAAAAUGACCCCGUAACUUCGGGAGAAGGGGUGCUCUAUUAGGGUGCAAGCCCGAGAGAGCCGCAGUGAAUAGGCCCAGGCGACUGUUUAGCAAAAACACAGGUCUCUGCAAAACCGUAAGGUGACGUAUAGGGGCU
rnacentral:rRNA from 1 species